CACUGGCUAGAAAUAGGAAAAAAAAUCCCCAGUAGAGUGAUACGUUUAGGACAACUUGUGAAUUUAUCUCUGGGAUUACGUGGAAUGUGGAACUGUGCAGCUGUGUGUUGUCUCCUCGCAAAAUGAGUUUCUCUCUGUUUCCCUGGCAGUCGUGUUCUUGUUAAGAGCUUGUUUGGAGUGGGAACACGGGUAGCUCCUGGAGCCCUGCUGACCAUUAUCUUCCCAUUCAGGUCUGCAUUGUGGAAGCGGCUCUCUAUUUCCUCGCUUAGAGAACAUUCUUGAUAAGAGAAAAUGUUGACAACUUUGCCUUUUUUGAGACUCACUAAGGAAACCUUUCUUCUUGUCAGUCUCCUUUCAUGGGCUGGGCAGGAGAAAGGAAAGAGGGUAUUGCUUUGGGGAAUACCCUUGACUUUCAACGGGUGUUUAACAACCAGGAUUUUCUUGAGCACCUACCAUGUGCAGAAGUAUAUGCUAGUCAUUGCAGAUUGUACAAAGAUGAAUGAAGCUAAAUUCCUGUUUUUAAGUAGCUUGGCACAUUCUUAUUUUAAAAAUGGAUGGCCUAAUUGGAAAGUCUAUAAAAUGGGUACAGAUCAAGUAAUAAGGGGAUUUGUAUGGGUUGAACUUCCCGUCACUCACUCUGAGGGUUCUGGCAUUAGGUAGACCUGAACUUGAACAUUGAGUCUACCACCUAUUCCCCAUGACAUUGGUCGGUACGGUAUACUUUAAGCUAAGUGUCCAGUUUUUUCCGUUGUUAAAUGAGGAUAAUGAUAUGGACCUUGCAGGGUUGUUGGGAUGCAUAAAUGAGAUCCCAAGAAUACAGUGUCUAGUGCCAUGCCUGGCACAGAUGAGUUCGCCUGGCAUGUCGGCUUUCUUCCCUCUGAUUUCAUGCCAUGCUCCAUUCCCUGGCAGUCAUACUGACACCUGUCACAAAUCUGCCCUAAACUCCACAAGUGAGUUACUGGUGUUUUGAUGACAUCUUCCACUGUGUCACAGCUCGGCAAAAUAAAGAAAUCCAACACAGGGAGAGUAAGCAGAUAAUAGUGAGGACGGUUUUCUGAACACUAUCUUUCCAAGGUUUAUAAGGCCAAAUGAGUCUUGUCCUCGUUGAAGAACGGUCACACAGGGGAGGUAUGGUGGACAUACGUCCUUCCACCAAUAUCCUGACCUUCCUCUCUCCAGGAACACAGCAGCGUUAUACACCUCUUUCCCCUGGGAAAUUAGGUGUUCCCUGUGAUUUGCUGUGGACAGUGACAUGGGAGCAGAAGCAAAGGAGGAAGCUUUGGAAGAUUCCAUCCUUGCUGCCACCAAUGGUAGCGGAAACACAGGUUGAGAUGGGCUUGUGUCAGCCUAGGCCCAUGAGAUACUGCAGGGAUCCCUCUGACAAGCCAUGUGAAACAUAGAGCGUGAGUGAGAACCUAACUUUUGUUGCCUUGCACCCCUGAGACUUUGGGCUUGGUGGUUGACCAGCUGCUCAGACUAAGGAAAUUGUACGCAGAUUCCGGUAAUGCUGCAUUUGCCCAAAACAUUUCAGUGCGUCCUCGGGUGAAACUGCUUUCUGGGGCAGUGUAGGACAACCACAGCAUCCCUGUGAAACCAUAUUCACUCUCCACCCUACAGUAGUAUCACAAAGUGAUACCCACCCUCUUCAUUAGAGCUGACGGAGGGUAGCCACGGUGAAGGAGAGAUUGGACAGCACUGAGCGAUUGGAGUGAAUGGGCCUUCAGAAGCAGUGAAAAGCAUAUGGUCAUGUUGAGCUCCUGGGCUGAGAUAUGAGAACACGAAGAAGCUGGGAAAUAUGCCGUUUCUCUGCUGCACGCUCUAUUCAUUGGGGUUGGCCAUUAAGGAUACAGUUGACCAACAUUCAUAGGGUGCCUGAAGUCGUGUUAUAAUGGUUGUCCACGUCUUCUGAAGCAGUGCUUCUCAACUGUGGUGGUACAUCAGAAUCAGUGGAAGACCUUGUAUGAAGUCCCAAUGCCUGGGUCCCAUUUUUGGUGACUCUAUUCUGGGAUGAGACCUCGGCAUGGGUGACGGCAAAGUCAAGGAGAUUCCCAGAUGGUCUCAGUUGUCCUGGAAACUUCCCCAGGCACAGGAUAUUUGCAAAGCUGCUUUUCCAGGUGUGAGUUUCCAAUUUCUGGUGAUUUCUUCCAAGCAUGAUGCUGGAUUAUCCUGGGAAGACAAUGUGGGUAUGUAAGUAGAAGAUAUACUGCCUAGCAAUGACUGGCCAAGUGAUCAAAGUCAACUGGCCAAGUGAUAGGGCAGCAUUCCGUCAAACCUCUGUACCUAAUGGAAGCCAUCAUUUCCACUCACCACAUGGUGUCUUGUAGCACAACACCCUUCUCGAAUCCCUCCAAAACCACCCCCAAGGGAAGCUCCCUAGACCAGAUACACUUCCAUCCUUCAUUAGUGUUCUCUCACUUUGGGUAAUUUUUUUCUCAUUAACUUAAAGCAGUGGUUCUCAAAGUGUGCUUCCCUGGGUCAGCAGCCUCAGCUGGGAAUUUAAACUUGAAAAAAAAAUUACACUAGUUAAUGAUGAUGUGUUUCUUUCCUUUAUAGUAAUAUUUCUCUCGCAACAGCUUAUGGAAUUAUGAUAGUUAAGCUGUACCUAGCUCUUACUCUGUAUUGAACAUUCUUCAAAGUGUUUUCCAAACAUUAACUCAUUUAAUUCUCACAAGCACAUUUUGAAGUAGGUGCUGUUAUUUCCCUAUUUCGCAGAUAAGGAAGCUGGAUACAGAGAGGAUAAGUAACUCACCCAGGGUCAUGCAACUCUAAAGAAUGCUCCUAGGAGAAAUAGCGGAAGCAAAUAUACAAUGUCAGCGGUGGUUAUUUCUGGGUGUGGGACUAGAGAGAGCUUUACAUUUUUUCCCCAUGCUUUUCUGUAUUUUCUAAAACAAACAUGUAUUAUACGUGUCGUCGGGAAAAAAACCAAUCCACAAUAUUAUUGAAAAGAAAGAAGGCAGCAGUUUCAGAGAAGACCUCGAGUAAGGGCGAAUGAGGACAGGAGCAAGAGGUGUUGUGAUUGAUUAAAAAGCCUUCUCCCUCAGGUCAGGUCUUCCAAGAUCCUGGCAGCUGCAUAGCAAGUAAGGAGCUAGAGAGCCCCAAGUGUGGGCACAGUGAGCAUCAGAACUGGAAAUCCAGGGAGGGCGUGACAUUGAGCCGUCUGCUCUUUCCAGUGUUUUCUCAGGUUUUGGAACUUACUGUCUUUGUGGGUAGGCCAUGGUAAAGUACAUUUCAUCACAGUAUGUCCAGGAGACCUUUGAUGGAGCAGAACUCAGCUCUCUGUAUCCAAGGUAGAAGGGAAGUUUGGCCGUAAAAUAAUGCCCUGACUCAUCUUUAAUUAAAUGUGCAAUGUGGGAAAGGAAUUAGUGCCUUCCGCUGUAUGGGAUGGAGAAACAGCUCUAAGUUUUCAGAAUAGCCCAUUAUUAGCAAUCUGCCGUGAAUCGAUUGGUACCCACAGCUCAGCCAGCCUUUGAACAAGCUGGACAAUAACUGAAAUAAUUAUUUGGGGUAAAUUAUUGCCGUCGUAAAAUGUAAUCAAUGUUUUAUUACAGCAGAAAGAGAUGUUUUUUCUUAAUUUCUCUCUCCACUCCACCUCUUCUCAGCCGGAUCUCCUUGCCAGAGCUCUGAAAGAAUGGUAUUUGUUUCCUCCCCUACAUUGGCAGGAGAGUCUCAGGCAUCCACAUACAGCAAGACAGGACACAUCUUGUAAAGGUUUUCCAUUUUAAUAUCCCUUAAUGACCAAUAAUGAAUUCUUUAUAGUUAAUCUGCUGUUCUCAUGAAAACAAUCUAGACGGUUAAAAAAAUCAAUCAUUAAUGAGCAGUAAAUGACAGCUCCCCAACAACACAGCUGUAUUUUUGUAAAAGUGAUUAAACAUUGUCUGCAUUCAUAAUUGCAUGGUUAAUAAGAAUGUUGAGCACCAAGUCAAGCAUUGUUGCUAAUGAUGACAGAUUACGAGGCUACAAACGCUUUGGAGUUAUGGGGCUAAAUUUUCAAAGGCAGUCCCUGGAACGGAAUGCACACAGACCCACUAAGUAUUCAAUUUGCAUGGACCAUUACCAGGUUUGUGCACGGCAUUUGGGAGCUAUGCAGUUGAGACUCUUUUGAAAAUCUGGCCCAUCAUGACAGAGAGCAUCUGUAAUAGAGCUAUGCAGUUGAGACUCUUUUGAAAAUCUGGCCCAUCAUGACAGAAAGCAUCUGUAAUUAACAGUAACUGAUCUCCCUCUGCCCAGUGUUGGGGAAAGGUGUAAAAUGCUCUGUGUGUGGUUUGAUGAAGCCUAAAGCCCCUUUGGUAAGGAGUCCUGGAUGCUGAAAGGAAGGCAGAAUCUCUGGGGUUGUUUUUCAGCCUUAGAGGUAGGUGUGACUAUCAGAGAGCUGCAGGCAGGUGACAGAGUGGGCGAGUCAUUGAGAAGGGGACCCGCUAAUACUAUCAUUGAUGAUUUGCCUCUCUUGUUUUGGCCUUAAACAUACUCCCUACACCUUGGGAGUUCCUGGAUUAUCCGUCACAGGUCUAACUAUUGAAAAUCUGGGGUUGUCCCAGGGUCCACUGGGGCUUGAUAGCUCUGCUCAGGGAUGAACUGUAAUCUUUAUGAAGCUGUGGGCAGAGUGAGUCACCUGGUGAUUGAGCAGGCCCCAUCUGCUGCUCUGUCUGUACUCUGAUCAGGUACGAAGCAACUCUGUGUAUGAUGCCCUACGUAAUCAUAAUUUAUGAGGAAAAUUGCAUGCUGAAAACAGAAUUUAUAAAUUCGAGGAUUUUGGUAAACCUCUGGUCUUUUUCUGGGAUGUUGAGGUUCUAAUGGACAGUUCAGUGGUUUCAUGUCUUGUGCUGUUAUUUACUUAUCCCAGUUUGUACGGAUAUCUUAUCUUGACAGUACCUUGGCCUGGAAAGCACAGACCAAGUGUAUUGGUCCUCUGAUUGCACCUGAUUCAGUGAUGUUUUUUCUGGAUCAGUCAUCCUUUGUCUGAGCAGAGGGUUACAGAAUCUCAGCCUGCAAGACAGCCUGACCUGUGGUGAAGAACAUGGUUUUGAGAUGCCUGGGUUUGAAAUGCGACUGUCAUUCACUGGUGGACAUACCACGUGGUUUGAGGACUCAUCUUUCCUCCUCAGUGAUGUAGGAGUGGUAUUAGCAGGUACUUGCUAGGGUUAUUGUGAACAGUCAAGGAGGUAUUUGAAACUCUUAGCUGAGUGACCUGGACAUAAUAUAUGCUUGAUAAAAGUUAGUUGUGCCUGUAUUUAUCAUUGUGAAAGCCAUGGGUUUGGGUAAUGCUACAGCUACGGAGCCGUUUCUUCUAGAUCUGACAGCCAAGGAUGGACCACCCUUCAUCUGUGUGUGAAGUGGCUGUGGUUGAUAGCAGUUACUUACAUAGUCUAGGCUGAAAUGGGUUCGUCCUCCACCUAAUAAGGAAGAAAGAGGGUCACCAGCUCAAGCAGAUGGGUCAGCCUGGAGGCAGGGCAGCUGUCAUAGUUAGAGGCUCCCACAACCCCUGUCCCGGCAUCUGAGCUGUCCCAGAGCUGUUAUGGGGCCAUAUUCAGGAGUGGGGUUGAAAUGUGAGUUGGUCAGAGUUUUCCAGAGCCUAUGAAUUCCAGCUCAAGCUUCUGGUUCUGAUCUCAUUGGACAGGGGAACUUCUUUCCUCCCCACACCCUAUAACCAAUUUUAUUAUUUUUUUUCCAUUCUUUAUUGUUUAAAUUACAAGGAAAUAUGUAUUACAUAGAUUUGUUUCCCACCCCUUCUUGUCACAUAAAUGAGGUAUACUAUGCACAGGUUUUCACUUUGCUUUUGUCUACUAACAGUAUAUCCUGGAGAUGUCUUGAAGACGUAUAUAUUAAUCUUUUCUAUUCCUUUUUGCCACAGAUUCCACUGAGUGGAUGUACGUUAAUAUAGUCAACUAGUCCUCCACUUGAUGAAUAUUUGGGAGGAAAACUUUCUUUAUGAAAUGGCAGAGCCUGGAUGGCAGUUUAAACAUCCUACAGGCUGGGGCGUCUGGGUGGCUCAGUCGUUUAGGCGUCUGCCUUUGGCUUGGGUCACAAUCCCAGGGUCCUGGGAUCGAGUCCUUCAUAGGGCUCCCUGC